rnacentral:rRNA from 1 species
ACGAACGCUGGCGGCGUGCUUAACACAUGCAAGUCGAACGGGAGGAAAGGAGAAGCUUGCUUCUUUUUGAAUCUAGUGGCAAACGGGUGAGUAACACGUAAACAACCUGCCUUCAGGAUGGGGACAACAGACGGAAACGACAGCUAAUACCGAAUGUGUUCCGGAGACCGCAUGAUUUCCGGAAGAAAGGAUGGCCUCUAUUUAUAAGCUAUCGCCUGAAGAGGGGUUUGCGUCUGAUUAGGCAGUUGGUGAGGUAACGGCCCACCAAACCUACGAUCAGUAGCCGGUCUGAGAGGAUGAACGGCCACACUGGAACUGAGACACGGUCCAGACUCCUACGGGAGGCAGCAGUGGGGAAUCUUCCGCAAUGGACGAAAGUCUGACGGAGCAACGCCGCGUGAGUGAUGACGGCCUUCGGGUUGUAAAGCUCUGUGAUCGGGGACGAAUGGCUGGUAUGCUAAUACCAUAUCAGAGUGACGGUACCCGAAUAGCAAGCCACGGCUAACUACGUG